rnacentral:lncRNA from 10 species
GAUGAUAUUUUUCAGAUAAGGUUGGCAUUUAAUCAGCAGACUUGAGAAAAGUCACGUACCUUCCAUAAUGUGGGUGAGCUUCCUCCAGGCAGUUGAGGGCCUUAAGAGAAAAGGGUGAUGUCUACCAGAGGAAGAGGGAAAUCUGCCUUCAACCUGAGUUCACAUUCAAGUUGCAAGAUCAGCUCUUCCCUGGGUCUCCAGCCUGCUCAGCAGAUUUUGAUUUUGCUAGCCCCUACAAUCAUGUGAGCCAAUGCUUUAAAAUCUGCCUCUUCUCUCGCUCUGUCUCUCUGUAUCCCUCCCUCCCUUUCUCUCUCUCUCUCUUUAUUGUCCCCCAAUUUCUCUCCCUCUCCUUGCUUCUCUCUCUUCUCUCUCUCCCCGCUUAUCUCCCUUCUGGCCUCUCUCCUCUCUACUCCUCCUCCUUUUCUCCCUCCCCACUUUUCUCUCUCUUUUCUCUCCCUCUCUACUCUCCUCUUUCUCUCUCCCCCUCACUCUCCCUCUUUUUUCUCUCUCCUCCCUCUCUUUCCCUUUCUCUCCUCUCUCUCUCAUUCCUCUUUGCCUCUCUCUCCCUCACUCUUCCACCUCUUCCUUCUCUCUCUCUCUCUGUGUGUGUGUGUGUGUGUGUGUGUAUGUAUGUAUUUCCUUCAUGCAUCCUGUAGGUAUGUGUAUACACAUACUUACAUGUAGACACACACAUCCUACUGUUAUUUUUUCUUGGGAGGACCGUAACACACCAUUGAACUAGGUGGAAGUGAGAUUAACUGCUAAGGCCCUGGGGUUUAUGGCUUCCCUUUGGGUAACUUUGUCCCCUGAACAGAAUACAGAUCAACAUUGAGUCCCCUGAAUUUCUCUUAAACCUGAGCAUGAGAUAGUCUCUCUAGGGUCCUCAGCUCGAGUCUGUGAUCUCUGUUCCUUAUCUCACCCCUAUUCAGAGCUGAGAAAUCUUCAUGAGGAUGGAGAACAUAGGAGUUAAGCCACUUUCAGAGGUGGGAAUGGAAAUUUUCAGAUUUGAUGAUGUUCCAGGUAGAGAAAUAACACCAUUGAUUCAAGAAAGAAAAAUGGGCCUAAAAGCCUUCCUAUGCCUAUCCUCUCCUGAGUAGUACAGUUGUGGAUUGGAUGGUAAUACUGGUGGCACCUGAAAAGAGGCAAGCUGUCUCUUGCCUGCUGUCAUGGAAGACGUGACUUUGCUCCUCAUUGACCUUCUGACACGAUUGUGAGACCUCCCCAGCUGUCUGUAACUCUUCACUAUUCGAGUCAAUCUUUCUUCAUACUCUGACUCAGCUUCACAGAGGUCCCACUGAGGAUGGUCAACAAAAGAGAAACAGAUGACAGACAACUUCUUAUGUGGAAAGUAUUUACAAGUUAAUAAUUUUUGAAAUCGUUGCAUAAUGCCAUUCUUGUUAAGUAAAUAAAAAUAAAAAACCCAAAGUGUGUUAAUUCUGUUUUGGAUACAUAUAGAAAAGGGAAACCCUAAAGUGUCAACAUUGGUUAGCAGAAAUAGAGAAUAAUGGGGAAAUUAACUUAAUAAAAAUUAAAAUAAUAUCUGUUUGCAAUGCAUUACUUUUGUAAUUAAAACAAAAAUGAAAUACAAGAAGGAAGGUAUAUGGAAAUGGAAGAAUUAAUUUGUUGGCUUGUGUGUUUUAGACCUCAGAUACAUAGGAUUAAUUUAGUGGCUCAGUAUAAAAAUAUUUUCCAGCCAGGCACGGUAGCUCACGCCUGUAAUCCCAGCACUUUGGGAGGCCGAGGUGAGAGGACAACUUGAGGUCAGCAGUUCGAGACCAGCCUGGCCAACAUGGUGAAACCCUGUCUCUACUAAAAAUACAAAAAUUAGCUGGGUGUGAUGGCCCAUGCCUGUAGUCCCAGCUACUUGGAAGGCUGAGGCAGAAGGAUUGCUUAAAUCUGGGAGGCGGAGGUUGCAGUGAGCCGAGAUUGCACCGCUACACUCCAGCCUGGGCGACAGAGUGAGACUCUGUCUCCAAACAAACAAACAAAAAAUAUAAUAAUAAAAAUAUUUCCCUUAACAUAUCUUCUCCUGUUUUAUUUUAUAAUAUUAUUAUACAGAUUAUCCCUAAUCUCUAUCCCAUUACCUCCUUGUUUCUUCCUUGUAUGUAUUAUAAUUGUGGAAUAGCUUGAAUAUUUCAAAAAUAUACAUUGUGUUUUUUGGGAUGUGAAUGUGAUCCUCAUUUUAAAACAAACAGUGUAUUUACUGUCACUCUGACACAGUCAUGUGUCACUUAACAACAGGGAUAUGUUCUGAGAAAUGCACUGUUAGGUGAUUUUGUGGUUGUACACAGAAUGUGAGUACAGCCUAGGGUGUACUCACAAACCUGGAUGAUACAGCCUACUACAUACCCAGGCUAUAUGGUAUAAUUUAUCAUUCCUAGGCCACAAACCUGUGCAGCACAUUACUGUGCUGAAUAUUGUAGGUGACUGUAAUACAAUGGUAAGUAUUUGUGUAUCUAAACAUGUCUAAAUAUAGAAAAGGUAUACUAAAAAUAUGGUAUUGUAAUCUUAUGUGACUACCAUCAUAUAGGUGAUCUGUCAUUGAAUAAAAUGUUGCUCUGUGGUACAUGACUGUAUUCUACUUAAAACUACGGUGGUUUGUUUUGUUUUGUUUUUCAGACGGAGUUUCACUCUUGUUGCCCAGGCUGGAGUGCAGUGGCCUGAUCUCGGCUCACAGCAACCUCCACCUCCCGGAUUCAAGCCAUUCUUCUGCCUCAGCCUCCGGAGUAGCUAGGAUUACAGGCAUAUGCCACCACGCCUGGCUAAUUUUGUAUUUUUAGUAGAGACGGGGUUUCUCCAUGUUGGUCAGGCUGGUCUCGAACUCCGGACCUCAGGUGAUCCGCCCGCCUCGGCCUCCCAGAGUGCUGGGAUUACAGGCGUGAGCCACUGCGCCUGGCCAGACUAUGUUUUUAAAAGCCAUCCCAUGUGGCUAGAUGCAAGCGUGAUAGUAAAAAUACUUAAUAUUUUUAAUAUGCUAUGGAUAUUGAUUAGUGAAAUCAGACAUUGGCAUAAAUAACUGCUGUAAUUAUACCUACGCAAAUCAGCUUAACAUUAGCUCAGGAUACAUGUACACCUAAUGAAUUGUUUCUAGCCCUUACAUAGCAUUUCACCAUAUUCUGUAGUAUUCCAUGCAUCAUAGCUGUGGCUACUUGUAUUGUCUUCUAAUCUCUUCUUCCAUAAACAAUACAGCGGUGAACAUUGUUGUGAAUGUCUUUUUGUGGAUCUAUGUGAUAAAUCCUCUGGUUUAUGUUCCCUAGCAUAAAAUUAAUGCAUCAUGGGUUACAUGCAUUUUCAUUUCAGUAAGUACUGUCAAAUCAUCACCUAGAAGUGUUAUCCAUAUACACAACAACAGUGUAUGAGAUCUCGAUAUUCCUCUAAACUUUCCUAAUACUUACCUCACUGCCUACUUUUUACAUAAUUUAUGAGUGGAAAAAGAUAUCAUUGUUUUACAUACAAUCAAAUUUGAGUUAAUUUGAUAAUUUCCUAAGAAGUUGCUUAAUAUUUUGGAUGUAUCUUGAGGAGGAAGAUUGAUCUGCAAUCUUCCUUUGCGUCAAGACUUUGGUUUUGAAAUCAAGGUUAUUCUAGGAAUACAGCUAAUCAGGGAGGUGAAAGUGCUCUAUGUCAAAAAUUACAAAACACUGCUCAAAGUAAUCAGAGAUGACACAAGCAAAUGGAAAAACAUUCCAUUCUCAUGGAUAGGAAGAUUCAAUGUUGUUUAAAUGGCCAUACUGUUCAGAGAAAUUUACGGAUUCAAUGCUAUUCCUAUUAAACUACCAAUGAUACUCUUCACAAAAUUAGAAAAAAACUAUUAAAAACUUCAUAUGGAACCAAGGCAAUUCUAAACAAAAAGAACAAAGCCAGAGGCAUUAUGCCUGACUUCAAACUAUGCUACAAGACUACAGUGACCAAAACAGCAUGGUACUGGUAUAAAAACAGACUCAUAGACCAAUGAAACAGAAUAGAGAGCCCAGAAAUGAGCCAUACACCUAUAACCAUCUAUCUUCAACAAGUAGACAAAAACAAGUAAUGGGGAAAGGACUGCCUAUUCAAUGAAUGGUUCUGGGAUAACUGGCCACCCACAUGCAGAUUGAAACUAGACACCUUCCUUACACCAUAUACAAAAACCAACUCAAGAUAGAUUAAAUACUUAAAUGUAAACCUCAAAGUAUAAAAGCCCUGGAAAGUAACCUAAGAAAUACCAUUCUGGACAUCUGAUGUGGCAAAGAUUUCAUGAUGAAGAUGCCAUAGCAACUGCAACAAAAACAAAAAUUGACAAAUGGGACCUAGUUAAACCGAAGAGCUUCUGCACAGCAAAAGAAACUAUCAACAGAAUAAACAGACAACCUAUAGAAUGGGAGUAAAUACUUGCAAACUAAUCAACGGAUAAAGGUCUAACACCCAUAAUCUAUAAGAAACUUAAACUAAUCAACAAGCAAAACAAACAAAAAACAAACAAAAAACCCAUUAAAAAGUGGACAAAGGACAUGCACAGAUACUUCUCAAAAGAAGACAUACAUGUAGCCAACAAGCAUAUGAAAAAUGCUCAACAUCACUAAUCAUUAUAGAAAUGCAAAUCAAAACUACAGUGAGAUACCAUCUCACAACAGUCAGAAUGGCUACUACAUAAAAGUCAAAAAGUAUCAGAUGCUGGCAAGGCUGCAGAGAACAGGGAACACUUAAAAACUACUGGUGGAAAUGUAAAUUAGUUCAGCCACUGCGGAAGCAAUUUGGCGAUUUCUCAAAAAACUCAAAGCAGAAUUACCAUUCAACCCAUCAAUCUCAUUAUUGGGUAUAUACCCAAAGGAAUAUAAAUUAUUCUAUCAUAAAGACACAUCUAUGUUUAUGUUCAUUGUAGCACUAUUCACAAUAUCAAAGACAUCAGAUCAAUCUAAAUGCCCACCAGUGGUAGACUGGAUUAGGAGAAUGUGGUACAUAUACUUCAUGGAAUGAUACAUAGCCAUAAAAGGAAUGAGAUCUUUCUUGUCCUUUGUAACAACAUAAAUGGAGCUGGAGGUCAUUAUCCUAAGUGAACUAAGACAAGAACAGAAAACCAAAUAGUGCAUGUUUCCACUUAUAAAUGGGAAGUAAACAUUGAGUAUAUAUAGACACAAAGAAGGGAGCAAUAGACAAUGGGGUCUAAUUGAGGGUGGAGGGAGAGAGGAGAGUGAGGAUUUAAAAAAACUACCUAUCCGGUACUAUGCUUAUUACCUGAGUGGUGAAAGAAUCUGUACACAAAACCCCUGUGACAUGCAAUUUACCUAUAUAACAAUCCUGCACUUAUACCUCUGAACCUAAAAUAGAGGUUGAAAAGUAAAAUCAAGGCUAUUAUGACCAUUGCUAUCCUCUUUUUCUAUAAUCUAGUUUAGUUUACAUUAGGUUGGCAUUAUUUCUCCCUUGAGUGAUUGAGAAUAUAGCCCAUUGAAGCCCUUUAGGCCUGAUAUUACCUUAUGAGAUGUUUUAAAUUAAAGAUUCACUUUUUGUAAUAGAUAUAGAAUUAUUUAAGUGUUGUAUUUCCUCUUUUAUUACUUUCAAGUCAUGUCUAUUUCUUUAUAUUUUCAAAUGCACUGGUAUAAGGUUACCUAGAAUGAUUUCUUAUUACAUUUAUGUUCUGCAGAAUAUAUUGUCAUAUAUCUAUUACUAGCAAUAGUGGUAAUUUAUUUGUUUUUUUCUAUUCCUUUGAUAGUACAAAGUUUGUUCAUUUUAUUAGUGUUUCAAAAGAAUAAACUUUUAGCUUUAAUACCUUUCUACUGUAUUUUUAUUUUGAAGAUAAAAUAAUAAUGUUUUAUGAAAUAAAUAAAUGUUGUUCUCUGCCCUCAUGAAGGCUUAAUUCAUUCAUAGACUUAUGAAUUAAUGGACUGAUGGGUUAAUGAAUUAAUAGGUUAUCAUGGCAUGGAACUGGUGGCUUUAUAAGAAAGGAAGAGAUCUGACCUAGCCCAUUGAGUCACCCUGUCUUGUGAUGCCCUUUGCCGCCUUGGAACUCUGAGGAGAGUCCCCACCAGCAAGAAUAUCUCACCAGAAGUGGACCAGUGACCUUGGACUUCUCAGCCUCCAUAAGUGUCAGAAAUAAAUUUCUUUUCUUUAUAUAUUACCCAGUUUCAAGUAUUCUGUUAUAAAUGACAGAAAAUGAACUAAAACAUUUACACUUGAUUUUAAAAAUAAAUUUCAAUUCUCUGGUAGAAUUCUUACUCUUUUCAUCUACUUUUUGAUCCUAUUAAUCGCUAGUAUUUUAUAUAUCACAACUGAUGUUUAUGCUAUCUGG